AGGCUUGCAGAAUAAACCAUUCUAACUACAGUUUGGUCUCUUCUCAUGUCUCCGGGUCGACCUGCUGAACUUUGCUGAAUCUGGUGCCUAAUAUAGGGGAAAUCUUACAGAUCUGGGGGCUCGUCCGGGAUACAUCUGACCAGAUACUUUGGGGGCCCCCACAUCAGCUAGCACCUCCACGCAGCAUAACUACUAGAAGGAUAAGCAUGAAGUGGCUAUGGACAUUGGGACUGUUUCUCUUUCUUGUUGCUCAAGCUAAUGCAGCCAGGCUGAAACGCUGGACACAUGAUCAUGAAUUUGGAUGGGCAGAGGAUGGGGCUGACAAUCCAAUUGAAAUAAUAUGUGGUAUCAAUAUGUAAAUGAGUUUUAGCUAGGUCAUAUAAUGUAUCUGGUUGUUAUGUAUGUUCUGUUAUGCCUCAUUCAGCCAAACAAACCCCUCUUUAUGCCAAACCCAUGAAUAAAACAGCUGCUAAAUGUUCUGCCAGUUUUGCAGGAUCUGGGUACCAGAAUCCAUAUAUAAUUGUCGAUGACUACGAUCCAUACCGGAUUGGCAUUAGAAAUGGUACAUGUGAUGCUCUAUUUUGGGUAAAAUUUGGCCAUGCUAAACCCUCACCUAUUAGCCACAAGGUUUUUAUUAACCACUCUAUUACACACCCUGUGUGUUAUAACCAGACCAUGGGCUCUCAUUUCAUGGGAAGCACUGUUAACUGUCAACAAAUUGCCUCCUCGGGAGAGGGGGCCCCAGUC
rnacentral:lncRNA from 1 species